GUAGUUAGCCGGGGCUUCCUCCUUGGCUACCGUCAUUUUUUCGUCACCAAGGACAGAGGUUUACAACCCGAAAGCCUUCUUCCCUCACGCGGCGUUGCUGGGUCAGGCUUGCGCCCAUUGCCCAAUAUUCCCCACUGCUGCCUCCCGUAGGAGUCUGGACCGUGUCUCAGUUCCAGUGUGGCCGAUCAGCCUCUCAGCUCGGCUACCCAUCGUCGACUUGGUGGGCCGUUACCCCGCCAACUAUCUAAUGGGACGCGAGCCCCUCCCAAAGCGGAUUGCUCCUUUGACCUCUGCCCGAUGUCAGGCCGUGGUCUUAUGCGGUAUUAGCACUUGUUUCCAGGUGUUAUCCCCCUCUUUGGGUCAGGUUGCUCACGCGUUACUCACCCGUUCGCCACUAAGAUUUUACCGAAAUAAAAUCUCCGUUCGACUUGCAUGUGUUAAGCACGCCGCCAGCGUUCGUCCUGAGCACGAUACAACUACUGA
rnacentral:rRNA from 1 species